UAACGGGUGGAGCUGACUGGUACUAAUAGGCCGAGGGCUUGUCCUCAGUUG
rnacentral:rRNA from 3 species